rnacentral:lncRNA from 1 species
CUGGGGCGGCGGGGACUCAGAUAGCAGAAGAGCAUGCCAAGUUAAGGAAACAAUCUGGCCUUUCCGCAGGGGGCAAGGACAAAUCUCCCAAGAAAGCCCCUGAAGAUGGGAAAGACAGCAGCCUCAGCCCCGCGGGGCAAAGCCAGCUCAGGGCGCGGCAACUGGCUCUGGUGCGGGAAGUGGAGAUGAGCUGGUACCUCAAACUCUACGAGCUGUCCGGCGAGCACACCAGCGCCCAGGCCACCGGCAUGCCCCACAGGCUUCAACAGAGACAUGUAACCAGCAGCUCUGCCAGGGACUCAAGAGUCUCCUCACACCCAGAAAAAUACGAAGGGCAUCUAAGGAAAACGAGCUGGUCCCUUUUAGGGACACGCCAAAGCCAGAUAACCCGCGUUAAUCAUAGCAAGAUACAGCCGGUGUCAGAGCCAAGUACUGUGAAAUUCGCUCUGCUUCUUGGGUUUGUGAAACAUGCAUUUGUAUAAACCUGCCUGUGCAGACAUCCCCAGCCCCAAGCUGGGUCUACCCAAAUCCAGUGAAUCGGCUCUGAAAUGUAGACGGCACCUAGCAGUGACCAAGCCUCCACCCCAGGCAGCCUGCUGGCCGGGGAGGCCUAGUGGGGCAGCAGAACGGAAGUUUCUGGAGAAGUUCUUACGUGUCCAUGGAAUCUCACUGCAGGAAACCACCAGAGCAGAGACGGGAAUGGCUUACAGGUAAUGGCUGGUUGCAGUUUCUUCAUCCAGGGCACUGUCCCGAAGUCCGGGUUGUCGUUCUUAGAGAAAGAAGGAUUGAGAUGACAAAGCCAGCACUAUCUAGAAAAGGGGAUGCAGAGAGCCCUCCUCUUGGGCUGCCUUAGUUGUGUGGGCUUUAUAUUGUCUACGUUCUCUUUGCUCAGACAGUUCCAUGGAAGAUAGCCCAGCUCUCCUGGGGAAGCUUCUAGCCAUGUGCUGCCGGUAGAAAUACCUUUGGCUCGGAAUAGGUAGGGGACUUAGCAGAUCAUAAUGAAGAAAGGGGGCUCUAUUCUUCCUAAGGGAAUUGAUAAAUUCAGAGUAGGAUUUUUUAAAAUGCUACCUGGGCUUGAAGGCUCUUGUUUUCCUCUAAGUCUGAUGCAUGGGGUCUGUGCUAAUGAAACUGAGCAAGUUCUUCUUGAAGUGACAGCCCUUUGCAGCCUGAGAUAAAUUACCUGUUGUUCUCUCAACUUCCAAUACCAUCAUUUACUGUGAACGAUUAACCAAAGGGAGAAGUUUUCCCCUGGUGGGGUUGGAUGUGUAAUGUUUAUAAAUUGCUCUGAGUUGAGAACUAUCCUUCUUGGUCACGGCAAUUACUGUUCAAACCUCUGUAAGAUAUGCCUGUGCUUCGCGGAGUCCACCGGCAGCACCUGCCCCAGUGUUUCCUUGACAAAUACAAAAGUGAGCAGAAGCCGUCUACAAGGACGAGGGUGCUGACAAGGGAGAAAAAAUCAUUUAGCAUUGGUAAAGGACAGGU